UACGAAGGGGGCUAGCGUUGCUCGGAAUCACUGGGCGUAAAGGGUGCGUAGGCGGGUCUUUAAGUCAGGGGUGGAAUCCUGGAGCUCAACUCCAGAACUGCCUUUGAUACUGGCGAUCUUGAGUCCGGGAGAGGUGAGUGGAACUGCGAGUGUAGAGGUGAAAUUCGUAGAUAUUCGCAAGAACACCAGUGGCGAAGGCGGCUCACUGGACCGGAACUGACGCUGAGGCGCGAAAGCGUGGGGAGCAAACAGG
rnacentral:rRNA from 1 species